GUGCAAAAGUAAUUGCUGUUUUUGCCCUUUAAAAGUAAUGGCAAAAACUGCAAUUACUUU
rnacentral:miRNA from 1 species